rnacentral:misc_RNA from 1 species
CUAUGCAUUUUUAUUUUAAUUUUAUUAUAGAUACCUAAUAUAUUGAAUCUAUGGCUCCUCUGCUCUCUAAGGAGAAGAGAGAAUACCAUUUUAAAAGAAAUCAUGUACUUUUUCAAAAAAUCAUUUGCUGUUGCUGCCUUGAAAAGAACAACAGAUGCAUUCCAGUUAAUAAAAAUUUGGAAGGCCUGGUUCAAGUUUUCUGUAAGCCUGAGUUUUCACUUAAAGUAUUUGCCUACCCUACAGGAUUAUGCCCAGGUUGCAAGAAAAACUUAUAUCUCUGUAAGGCUGGUAAAACUAUUGCAGACACAGUUACUUUAAAAUGGAAAAAUUCUGAUUUGUCUAGCUUGCAAACCUCUAGAGAUUGCUCAAUAUUAUGCAGUAUAUGCAGUCAAGGAAGAAAUAGAUUAUUAAAUAAAAAUAUGAAAAAGGGAACUAGCUCAACACUGAAAUUUUGCCAAAUAUGUUUCUGUGAAAUUGCUAAAGGUAAACCCCACAAAUGUUCCCCUUUAAAGAGUAGCACAAAUCUUUCUGAGAGUAUUUCUAAAAUUUCUAAAAAAGUAAAAGAACAAGUAGCUUCUUCCCUUCUAAAAGAAAUUUAUUCUGAUCAAGAACAAAGUCUAGGAGCUCAAGCCAUUCUCAGAACAGGAGGUAAAAGUAUUCAUAUUACACUCGGUACUCGGGAAAGUGACCAGAGAAAGAUUCCUUAUAAUGAAGUAGAAGUUUUAGUAAAUACCUUAGGACUUAGUCAAUUGAAGUCAUAUGAAAUGUUAAAAACAUUGAGGAGAAGCGGCGUAAAGUUUGAGUCAAACAUAGAGAAAGCCCUGGAUGAAAAAAGUAAACUACUUUCCAACUUUUAUGUCACUGAAUUAUUAGACUUUCAAGAAAAGGAAAAAGAUAAUGACUAUGCUACAGUGAAGAGACACUUGGUAUAUAUUGAAGAUAUUACAACAUUUCUGGAUUUUGUAAUUAAAUAUCGAGGGCAGGUUCCACAAAACACAUUUGUAAAGGUUGGAAUAGAUUCAGGUGGAGGAUCACUGAAAGUUAUAGUAAAUCUGUUUGAUCCAACCAAGGACAGGACAGAAGAUAGCAGCUCCUUAGGAUCAUACUCAGGAGCAAAUACGUCACUUGUUUUAGCUUAUUGUGAAAGGGCUCAUGGAGGAAAGUAUGCUUGUGCAUGGUGUGAAGGUUCUUCAGAAUUAUUUUCUGGAGAGUUAAGAACAUUUCAAUCUUUGAAUAAUUACUAUGAACUGUAUUCAUCUGCAGGAUCUCCGGUGAAAAGAAUGAAAGAAUAUAAGAAUGUCAUUAAUCCUUGUCUGCUUAAGAUAGAAGACAAAUCUCUAAGUAUAAUAAGAGAGAUUCCAUUACCAGAACUUCACCUUCUGAUGGGAUUUGUUAACCAUGUGGCAGAAUUUAUAAUGCAACUUUAGCCUGGAUUUAUAGAUUGGGUCAAGAGCAUUGGAUGCCUUCGAAAAGGUUACCAUGGAGGAACAUUUGAAGGAAACACGUGUAGAGAGAUACUUAAAAGUUGCGACAAACUUGAGUUGAUAAUUUCUGUUGAACUGUAUCCUCUCUUAGAAACAAUGAGAAAAUUUAAUAAGGUUGUUCAUGGUGUCUUUACCUAUAAACUUGACCCAAACUAUUCAAUUUUAAUUGAAAGUUUUACACAAAGCUAUAAGGAUGCACAAGACUAUUGCAGAGAGUUUUUAGGUAAACAGCUCACGGUUACUUGGAAAGUACAUGCUGUAACAGCACAUCUGGAAACAUUUGUUGAUUUGAGUGGCCUUUCCCUUGGGCAGUUUAAUGAGCAGACAUCUGAAUCUUGCCAUUCCAAGAUGAAAAGUGUAAUAAACAGGUUUGGAGUCUCGCAUUACAGCAACAAACAUAAAGAAAGAAGCAAAAGAAUUGCUGAAGUGUUCAGUUCAAAUAAUUUAUAAGUUAUUGAACAUUAAUUGUACAUCAAAACAUAAACAUUAUUGAAAUCUUAAAGUUAAAAAAAUUUGUAAAUUUAUUCAAAAAGACACUAAAAAUACAUUAGUAU